AUCCGACUGACGAAUCCCAAACAGAACGAAGCGCACGUCCUGGAU
rfam:Schistosoma margrebowiei strain Zambia genome assembly, scaffold: SMRZ_scaffold0000454